rnacentral:rRNA from 1 species
GAACGCUAGCGACAGGCCUAACACAUGCAAGUCGAGGGGCAGCACAAGGAGCAAUCUGAGGUGGCGACCGGCGCACGGGUGAGUAACACGUAUGCAACCUGCCUGUAAGCGGGGAAUAACCCGUUGAAAGACGGACUAAUACCGCAUAAUACUAAAUUACUGCAUGGUAAUUUAUUUAAACAUUUAUGGCUUACAGAUGGGCAUGCGCAUGAUUAGCUAGUUGGAGAGGUAACGGCUCCCCAAGGCAACGAUCAUUAGGGGUUCUGAGAGGAAGGUCCCCCACACUGGUACUGAGACACGGACCAGACUCCUACGGGAGGCAGCAGUGAGGAAUAUUGGUCAAUGGACGAGAGUCUGAACCAGCCAAGUCGCGUGCAGGAAGAAUGUCCUUAAUGGAUUGUAAACUGCUUUUGCAGGGGAAUAAAGUGCAUCACGUGUGAUGUUUUGUAUGUACUCUGCGAAUAAGGAUCGGCUAACUCCGUGCCAGCAGCCGC